UGCGUAGGUGGUGAGACAAGUCUGAAGUGAAAAUCCGGGGCUUAACCCCGGAACUGCUUUGGAAACUGCCUGACUAGAGUACAGGAGAGGUAAGUGGAAUUCCUAGUGUAGCGGUGAAAUGCGUAGAUAUUAGGAGGGACACCAGUGGCGAAGGCGACUUACUGGACUGCUACUGACACUGAGGCACGAAAGCGUGGGGAGCAAAC
rnacentral:rRNA from 1 species